CACCGCGGUUAUACGAGAGGCCCUAGUUGAUAGUCGUCGGCGUAAAGAGUGGUUUAGAGAAUAAUAGAAUAAAGCCGAACACCCCCUUAGUUGUUAUACACAUUUGAAGACACGAAGCCCUACCGCGAAAGCAGCUUUAAACAUUCUGAACCCACGACAGCUGUGAAA
rnacentral:rRNA from 1 species